GAUGAACGCUAGCGGCAGGCCUAACACAUGCAAGUCGAGGGAGAAGCCCUUCGGGGCAGAAACCGGCGCACGGGUGCGUAACGCGUAUGCAACCUACCUUUCACAGGGGGAUAGCCCGAAGAAAUUUGGAUUAAUACCCCAUAAUAUUAUUGGAUGGCAUCAUUUGAUAAUUAAAAUUACGAUGGUGAAAGAUGGGCAUGCGUCCUAUUAGCUAGUUGGAGUGGUAACGGCACCCCAAGGCUACGAUAGGUAGGGGUCCUGAGAGGGAGAUCCCCCACACUGGUACUGAGACAGGGACCAGACUCCUACGGGAGGCAGCAGUGAGGAAUAUUGGUCAAUGGUCGGAAGACUGAACCAGCCAUGCCGCGUGCAGGAGGAAUGCCUUAUGGGUUGUAAACUGCUUUUAUAUGGGAAGAAUAAGGAGUACGUGUACUUUGAUGACGGUACCAUAUGAAUAAGCAUC
rnacentral:rRNA from 1 species